UACGUAGGGUGCGAGCGUUAAUCGGAAUUACUGGGCGUAAAGCGUGCGCAGGCGGUGAGCUGUGUCCGAUGUGAAAGCCCCGGGCUUAACCUGGGAAUGGCAUUGCAAACCGGCCUGGCUAGAGUGCAGGAGAGGGAAGCGGAAUUCCAGGUGUAGCGGUGAAAUGCGUAGAUAUCAAGAGGAACACCUGAGGUGAAGACGGGUUGCUGGGCUGACACUGACGCUGAUGCGCGAAAGCCAGGGGAGCAAACGGG
rnacentral:rRNA from 1 species